CUGUAUGUAGCUUAGUGGUAAAGCCUGGGUUUUUGACGCCCUGUUUCGUAGGUUCGAUUCCUAACGUACAAA
rnacentral:tRNA from 1 species